rnacentral:lncRNA from 1 species
AAAAAAAAAAGAAGCGAGAGGGAGAGAAGAAGGCGCGCUGCCUCUCUCCGGGAGCCAAAAUAUCCUCGAUGUGGCAGAGCCGGCCAACAACAACAGCGGAGGAGAAGGAGGAGGAGGCAGCGCCGGCUUGAUCCCAGCGGAGAGUCCCGGAGGAGGAGGAGGAGGAGGAGGAGGAGGAGGAAGGGGGCGGGAGGAAGGAGGAGGGAGGCAGGCGGCUGCGUGGGCGCUGCCGAGCCGAGCCGUGCCGUGCCGAGGCGCCGCUCGGAGCCGUGUGCGCUGCGCUGCGCUGUGCCGCGCCGCCCGGCCUGCCCGGCGCUCUUCAGCGGGCAGGGGGCGGUGGCGGCGGGGGGACCGCCCCCCGGAGCCCGGCCCCUUCGCCGGCAGGGCGGCGGGGAGCGGGGCGGAGGCCGGGGGAGGCCUGGGCCAGCUCGCCGUGCCCUGGUUUUGGAGGAAGAAGCCAAGUGGAUAACCAGCUGCCUGGUAUUUUUCAGGUGAAAGAAAGAGCAAAGUCAUUUUGAUUUGGAGUACAGUGGAGGCUGUGGCAGCAGACGACAAGGUACAAAAGUCGGUGUGUAGGAAGGACUAAAUCUCAUGAGUCAGGCCGCUGGUAAGGGCUGGAAGCCUGUGGCUAAUGUGAUGUAAAGCCUCGGGGAAAAAGGUGGUGAAGUGACAAACCACAAGGAUGACUUUAGCAGCAGCAGUUUCUAUAGGGUUUGAGUGGGGAAGGGUUGAAGAUGGAAGAGGAAGAGAAAAGACUGCAACAGUUCAAAGGGAAGAGAAACGUCCAUUUGAAGGAUUAUGCCUCGUCUCUGCAGGAUAAUGGAUGGAAGCCUAGAAACUGUUAAAGGAAGCCUGAUUUCCUGUGCCUCUCCAUGGCAGACUCCUGAUUAAUUCAAGCUUUGUAACAUUUCUUUCAAUGGGGACACUGACAAGGUCAGUCUCCUACCCAGUUGCUCGUUUUCAGUAAGUAUAGCAACGUAAUAAAUUUGAAACCUCCUGUAUCCUGCCAAAUGUGACAGCAGUUGGCUCAGGGUUCAAAAUUUAUUAAAAGGAAAUGGCCACCUCAAGCAUUCUCUGAUGGACUAUUUCAUAAGAAAAAUAUGAAAAAAAAAAGCAAAAUAUCUGAAUCAACUCAAUGGCUUUUAAAUAACUGUUUGACUCAUGUUAAUGAAUUACACAUUCUAUAUUUCCAUUAAAAAUAUUGUAUAUUUAAUGUUACUCUUUUGAGCUAAAAACAUGUCAGAAAUGGCUUUUGGUGAACCAAAGAGAAGAGCUCUGAAAAAGUUGUUAAUGUGUAGCUGUUGGCUAAUGCUUUGGUUCCCCUACCAGGACUACACACUGCUUCAGCCCCAGUUACGACGUCUCUGAGAGGUGGUACUUGUGAAGAGAAGGUAUUUGAAGAGGCAGCUUGAGUAUUUGAUAGCAUACUCUGAGGUGCUGGGGUGAGCUGGUCAUUUAGAAACCAAAUCAAUAGGCAUGCAUCUCGAGGGAAUAGUAAACACAGUUGGAGUCAUUCCUAAUUAUUGGGAUACAGCUCUGUCAUCAGCUCCUUCUCCAGAUACUAUUAUUUAUAGAAAUAAUUAUUAUGCAGCAUUUAC